ensembl:lncRNA
GCCUUAGUUACUUUUCCUUCACACCACCUGCCGCUGCCGCGUGUGUGACCUCAGGUGGCUGGCUGUUUGUUGAGGGUCAGAGCUGAGCUCCUGGGCUUCAGUUAGCCAAAAGGAGCUGAUGAGUGUGAAACACUUGGCUCCCGAAGCUGGCACGGGACUGCACAUCCAGAGGCCAGCCUGUCCUGCCACCGUCUCCAUGAUACCAUGAGGAGCCGAACUCAGAGGGUGGAGUCUGAGAGUGGCAACCAGUACCUGGCAGAGCCCCACCAUCCCCUGGACCUGGAUGCUGAGCUCCAACCUCCUUCUAGAGAAGGGAACAGCUGCCUAGAAGGAUUCUCGCACUCGGAGCCAGUGGACUUCUUUAGGAAAUUGAAACACUGAUUACAAGACCAAUGCAUAUUCAUUGAAGAUAAUUUAGAAAAUGCAGUUUGCCAAAGGAAGAAAAUAAAACUCACCAGCAUUCUCACUACCCAGAGAUAGCUACAGCUGCUGGGCUGCCGUGUGUAAUUUAAGACUUUGAGGGAAAAUUUAAAAGACCAAGAUUCCUGAGCUGCUCUUAGGCAUGGCCCAGACAGGGCUUCUCCGACUAGUGCCACUGAGGUCCUGAGCCAGGGGGGCUUUUUGCUGCGGGCCACCUGUGCACUGCUGAUGCCUGGCCAUAGCCCUGCCUCUGCCCACCCUAUGGCAGCACUACCCCUCCCCGACGGCCAUGCUGGUCCUGGCCGAACAUGGCUGGGGCUGGAGGAAGAGGCUCUGAAGUUAGCCAUGCCUGGCUUUUCAUCCCAGUUUGGGUAUAGACUCAGGCAAGUCAGCUAAGGACCAGGGGCUUCAUGGUCCCCAUUGUGAGACAGGGGGACCAGCAGGCAGAGCAGAUGUGGCGGGGACACAGAGAGCACUCAGUAUGAUGGAGCUGCUGUUGGCAUCAGCACCUGGUAGAUGGUGGCCUUUUUGGUGAGGUCCAAUUUCACAGAACCCAAAGAAGUCAACCACAGAACUCACGUGUGCUUUGCUCCUGAGCAAGACAUGUCGCUUGUCUCCUGGCAUCUCUGGGAGCCAACAGGAGGCUAAGAGUGUGGCUCUGGGCCUGGCCAGCCUGCUUCUGUGACCCACCUUUGUCCCCAACUUGUGUGACAUCAGAGUUUGCAACCCUGACCGUAUCAGCAUGUCUCAAACUGUAACAUACAUGUGGCCUGGAGAACUUGUUGGCCUAUACAGGCCUGGAUGUCUACAAGACGAAGUACUUGUCUUGAUCCUGUGACGCUGCUGAUACCACCAAUUAGGUCAAUGACGGCAACAUGACAGUUAACAUUCACUGCAUUUCCAUGUAACGGGC